UCUUGGGGAGUCCGCGCUCCGCGGACUGAGAAGGGACCGCGUGGCCCCGACCCAUUGAACCUGAUCCGGAUCAUCCCGGCGUAGGAAAGAGGAAAUCA
rnacentral:ncRNA from 1 species